AACGAACGCUGGCGGCAUGCCUAACACAUGCAAGUCGAACGAAACCUUCGGGUCUAGUGGCGCACGGGUGCGUAACGCGUGGGAACCUGCCCUUAGGUUCGGAAUAACUCCCCGAAAGGGGUGCUAAUACCGGAUAAUGUCUUCGCACCAAAGAUUUAUCGCCUUUGGAUGGGCCCGCGUUGGAUUAGCUAGUUGGUAGGGUAAAAGCCUACCAAGGCGACGAUCCAUAGCUGGUCGGAGAGGAUGAUCAGCCACGAUGGGAAUGAGACACGGCCCAGAAUCCUACGGGAGGGAGGAGUGGGGAAUAUUGGAAAAUGGGGGAAAGCCUGAUCCAGCAAUGACGGGUGAGUGAUGAAGGCCUUAGGGAUGUAAAGCUCUUUUACACGGGAUGAUAAUGACAGUACCGGGAGAAUAAGCGCCGGCUAACUCCGUG
rnacentral:rRNA from 1 species